rnacentral:tRNA from 1 species
GCCUUCGUGAUGUAGUGGUCAGCACGCUCGACUUGUAUUCGAGAAGACCGUGGUUCGAUUCCCGGCGAAGGCG